CUUACCUAGAGAUCUGAUUAAAAUGCAGACUCUGAUUCAUUAGGUCUGGGAUAAGUCUAGGAUUCUGCAUUUCUAACAAGCCUUCAGGUGAUGCUGA
rfam:Pan troglodytes isolate Yerkes chimp pedigree #C0471 (Clint) chromosome 14, whole genome shotgun sequence.